ensembl:lncRNA
CCACACACUCAGUGCACUUUCCCAUCUGCAUUCAUUUGGGGAGCUAAUUCUGGCUGCUGAAUGUCUUCAUUUAAAAUACAGACAUACAUGUAUUUUGUUCAGUGUUUUAAUUAGGCCCAAAGGAAUGUACUUUCAAUUUUUGGUACACUUCAUUUGUUAUAUUAAUGAAAAGCCACUUUAAAUCAAGUUUCCUGUUGAUAUUUCAUUAUGUAUGCUGUUCUUACACAUCUCUAAAGGAGAUUUACGUUACAGGUAGUAACCACAAAUACCGGCCAUGGACAUGCUGUUAAUUUAAAAUGUAAAGUUUUCUUUUGAGGCGCAGCAGACAUAUAGGGUCUCUCUCUUCGCCAGGGCCGCUCACUUCCCUGUGAAAAUGACCCACAGCUGUCGCCCCAUCCGGAGGCCCAACCUACAGGCAGGGAUCUGACGUUCACACCCAGGUUCACGGAAGACAGAGCUCAGCACGGGGCCAGAGCAUAAUGUGCAGGGACUGGCCCCGCUCCCGACAACAUGGGCAGCCUUGACGGUGGCGCUGGCCUUGCCCUCGGCUGUCGCUGAACGUUUCCAGGUGCCAGCACUGCACCAGGCAGGUCAGCCCUAUGCCACCAGAUGGAGCCCACCCCACCUCGCCAAGAUGUAGAUGGUCCACCCCGACCCCGUAUGGCGGAGGAGAAAGCCGACACGCAGGGCUAAUGGACUGUGGAGUUAAGAUCUGAAGCCAGGCCCGGGGCCCCUGACCACCGUGUCCAACCGAGAGAAGCUCUGCUGGAGACAGGCUUCUAGCCCCUGUGUUGUUGGGGUGUUGCGAGGUAAACCUGGCUUAGUAGCUGAAGAAGACGGCGAUCAGCAUGGUCCCGUGCACGGAGGGUCAGCGCUGGGCACUGACUUUGAGCCGGCAGAGGGUGAGGGAGGCAACAGCUGGGAUGACUGGGGCACAACCAGUGGUCUGGCCACGCUUCCUCUGGUGGCCUUCAGGGCCUUACAAACACCGACAGACGUUACCUCCAGGACCCUCACGAGGACCCUCUGCGUCAAGCUGUCAUCGUCACUCCUGUUUUACAGUCUGCAGGCCGGGGAGGCCCCCUGGAGGACCAGCUUGCUCUGAGGGGUAACAGCAGGGGCCGACGACCGGGAACUCGAGAGACAGGCCAGCACCCGGCUCUAACGACCGACCGCCUGCUUGCUUCACUGUCAGCCUCCUCGGCAGCAGGACGCUCCCACACCUGUCUGGCCUACGUGUUCUUCAGACCACGUCCUCAUCUGCCGUCAGAAUUCUAUUCUUUAGGACUCCCACCCUGGGCCUUGCCCAAAUCACUUGCUUUUCCCCCCUUACUAGGGGACCCCGUUUUUUUCUGGCAUCUAUGCACUCUGUGCUUCCCUCGUGGCUCAGAUGAUGAAGAAUCGGCCCCACAAUGCAGGAGACCCGGGUUCAAUCCCUGGGUCAGAAAGAUCCCCUGGAGAAGGACAUGGCAACCCAUUCCAGUGUCCUUGCCUGGAGAAUCCCAUGGACAGAGGAGCCUGGCGGGCUACAGUCCCUGGGAUGGCAAAGAGUCAGAUAGGACUGAGCCACUAACACUUUCACUUUCAUGCACUCUGUACCCACCUUGAGUCCUGAGCCCCAUCCAGGAGCACCUGAGCCCCCAUUACGACCCGCGCCACCCUCCCAGGGAAGCACCACACCCUUAGGAGCCUUGCUAGCCCGAGGAGCUGUCCAGAGCGUCAACAGAGGAAGAAUUCCUCGCACCACCCACCAUCCCGCUGACCACGUGAGCCCCGUGGACAGGACAGCCGCAGGCUGUCAGGAUGUCACAGGGUGUCGAAGGAGGGCCACAUGGAGGGGCGCACGCCGUUCACAGACCACUGCCAUGCCGCCGCCUGUCCCUGCCAGUGUCCCCUGACUGCCGAAGCCUUGGCACGAAGGUCUCAGAGUGGGGCCCGGUCCCCGCGCAUGGCUGGCGCGUUCUCAGAUGCCACCCUCCUGUGGUCCCUGCCCUUCUGCUGAGCCUGGUUGUCUUUCUGUGGAUUCUAUGAGCCACUUGAUAUCCUUCUAGUAGUCCCUGUUUCUGCUUGAAUGAGUCCACGGUUUAUGCCAUUGGCAAGCAAGGGUGGGCCACAGCUCCCUCCCAGGGCUGCUGGAAGCACUGCUGGCUGGAGGGGGGCACCCGGGGCAGAGGUCAUUUGUGAGGGAGCACUACAGGGGGAGCACCGUGAGGGAGCAUCAUGAGGGAGCUGGAGCCCUGGGCUGACCCGAGGCCUGGGGGCCCCGGACCCCAAGCCUGGUCCUGGAGGGUUAGCGUGUGUGACAUGGAGGCCAAGAGUCCUGAGCACAGGGAGCCGGCUCCGCUGACCAGCUCAUCACCAAGAAAUCCAGGAGGCCUCCUCGCGCCCCCAGAGGGGUGGAAGUUUGGCACCAGCAGGGACCGAGGGCCCUGGGGGCUGAGGCGGAGGGACCUGGGGUGGGGGAAACAGCCAUUUCUUUUAUCUUUGCAUGUUUAGAGGUACGGCGUAGACACUCACACUGCACCAACGUCAGGGUCCUGGUUUUGAUACUGAAUAUAGUUAGCUAAGACGUUGCCACUGGAGAAGCCAGUGAAGGAGACACCUGUGGACCUCUGUGUAUUAUUUGUGUAACUUCCUGUAAGUCUAUAGUUAUUUAAAAAUAAAAAGUCAUUUAAAAAGAUACGGGAUACAGUGUUUUCAUAAUGAAAACCUGGCCAUGUCAGAUCACAGAAGGAAGCUCCCCUAAAUUCCAAAAGGGAAACGUAAGAGCUGGGACAUAAUUUUCCACCCCAGGCUACUGAACUUCUGGUUUCCCUUGCCCUGUGCAGGGCUGGGAAAGACCUAGGAAACGUUGGCAGAGAGCCCCGACUUGGCCUCCACCCCCAGGCCUGACC